rnacentral:rRNA from 1 species
GGUCAAUAGCCUAACGGCUGAACCAGCAACUUGGAGAAUGAAUAGCAAUAGCUAAUUGCACAUAAAUAAUGAUGCAAAAUCGACUCUGUUGAAUAAAGUUCUAGCUAUACUUUGAUGAUGACAUCGUAUAGCUAUGUGUCUUGGCCAAAUUACGUGCCAGCAGCCGCGGUAAUACCUAGAAGACUAGCGUUAUUCAUCUUUAAUAGGUUUAAAGGGUACCUAGACGGUAGAUCAAGCCCUGUACGGGACUAAUCUGCUAGAGUUACUUACACGGGAGCUAUGAAGUACUAAUGGUGUAGAGAUAAAAUUUUGUGAUACCAUUUUUCGAAAGAAAAGUUAUGGCACUGGUAAAGGCGAAAGCAUCUCCUUAUGUGAUAACUGACGUUGAGGGACGAAGGCUUUGGGUCGCGAAUAGGAUUAGAGACCCUAGUAGUCAAAGCAGAAAAUGAUGAGUGUCAUAUAUUAGAGUGAUAAACUUUAUUGUAUAAAUGAAAGUGUAAGCACUCCACCUCAAGAGUAAUUUGGCAACAUUGGAACUGAAAUCAUUAGACCGUUUCUGAAACCAGUAGUGAAGUAUGUUGUUUAAUUUGAUAAUCCGCAAAAAACCUUACCACAACUUGAAUGGAUAUAUCUCUUGCAUGAUAUAUUUACAAGCGUUGCACGGCUGUCUUCAGUUAAUGUCGUGAGACUUUGGUUAGAUCCAUUAAAUUAACGCAAGCCCUUGCUUUAUUUUUAAAUAAAGUUGUUCCCCGCUAUAUUGGAUAUGAUAACAGG